rnacentral:rRNA from 1 species
GAUGAACGCUGGCGGCGUGCCUAAUACAUGCAAGUCGAGCGAACAGACGAGGAGCUUGCUCCUCUGACGUUAGCGGCGGACGGGUGAGUAACACGUGUAUAACCUACCUAUAAGACUGGGAUAACUUCGGGAAACCGGAGCUAAUACCGGAUAAUAUAUUGAACCGCAUGGUUCAAUAGUGAAAGACGGUGUUGCUGUCACUUAUAGAUGGAUCCGCGCCGCAUUAGCUAGUUGGUAAGGUAACGGCUUACCAAGGCGACGAUGUGUAGCCGACCUGAGAGGGUGAUCGGCCACACUGGAACUGAGACGCGGUCCAGACUACUGAGGGAGGCAGCAGUAGGGAAUCUUCCGCAAUGGGCGAAAGCCUGACGGAGCAACGCCGCGUGAGUGAUGAAGGUCUUCGGAUCGUAAAACUCUGUUAUUAGGGAAGAACAAAUGUGUAAGUAACUAUGCACGUCUUGACGGUAACUAAUCAGAAAGCCACGGCUAACUACGUG